UACGUAGGGUGCAAGCGUUAAUCGGAAUUACUGGGCGUAAAGCGUGCGCAGGCGGUUUUGUAAGUCUGUCGUGAAAUCCCCCGGGCUCAACCUGGGAAUUGCGAUGGAGACUGCAAGGCUAGAAUCUGGCAGAGGGGGGGUAGAAUUCCACGUGUAGCAGUGAAAUGCGUAGAGAUGCGGAGGAACACCGAUGGCGAAGGCAGCCCCCCUGGGCUAACACUGACGCUCAGGCACGAAAGCGUGGGGAGCAAACAGGGAUUAGA
rnacentral:rRNA from 1 species